GGUUUCCAGGUUACUUUCACCUACAUCUGCAGGUCAUCUAAUACAUGGCAAGAUGAUGCUCUGCUUUUGGGUUACGAAGCCUAGACAUGGUAAGCCAUGUUGUCGGAACCCUAAAAAGUUCUAGCUUUGAAUCAGGGUACAAGCAAGGGCUUCAGAUCUGCAAUUACAUAUCGUGCGUCACCACCAACAACAUUUAGCGGUGGCAACCGUCCCCAAGGCUCCGGUGUUCUUCAGUUCUUUUUUCUCGGUUUCACUUAUAGGGUUUCACAUUGCUUUGUUGCUGUGCUGAUUUGAAGGGUUUCACCUUACUUUGUUGUUGUGUGGAUUGCUUUAAUUUGAAGGUAAUUUCUUUUACAUUUUCAUAGAUGCACUGCGAGAUCGUAUACUUCCAUAUGGUAAGGGGAUGCGACAAACGAGCUGAGAUUCUUUCACUUUGUUUGUUAACACUUGGACUUCAUUCUUGAAACUCUGGUCGAAUGCUGGUUGCUUGGCUUCAAAACCGUGGAGUUUUUUCAAAGCAAACGUUUGACCGCUAGGCAGUUUGGCUUCAUAAACACUGUCGUAGCCACCAGUUCCAAUGCAGUAUUUGAGGUCAAAAUCCUGUGUAGCAGUGAUGAAGUCUUCAUAUGCAAUUGUUCCAUCAUAAUUCAAUAUUGAGCACACAUUUCCAUGUUUUAUUGUUUCUGGUUGGAUUUUCUUAUCUGUGGAAU
rnacentral:lncRNA from 1 species